GACGAACGCUUGCGGCGUGCUUAACACAUGCAAGUCGAACGGAAAGGCCCUGCUUUUGUGGGGUGCUCGAGUGGCGAACGGGUGAGUAACACGUGAGUAACCUGCCCUUGACUUUGGGAUAACUUCAGGAAACUGGGGCUAAUACCGGAUAGGAGCUCCUGCUGCAUGGUGGGGGUUGGAAAGUUUCGGCGGUUGGGGAUGGACUCGCGGCUUAUCAGCUUGUUGGUGGGGUAGUGGCUUACCAAGGCUUUGACGGGUAGCCGGCCUGAGAGGGUGACCGGCCACAUUGGGACUGAGAUACGGCCCAGACUCCUACGGGAGGCAGCAGUGGGGAAUAUUGCACAAUGGGCGGAAGCCUGAUGCAGCAACGCCGCGUGCGGGAUGACGGCCUUCGGGUUGUAAACCGCUUUCGCCUGUGACGAAGCGUGAGUGACGGUAAUGGGUAAAGAAGCACCGGCUAACUACGUGCCAGCAGCCGCGGUGAUACGUAGGGUGCGAGCGUUGUCCGGAUUUAUUGGGCGUAAAGGGCUCGUAGGUGGUUGAUCGCGUCGGAAGUGUAAUCUUGGGGCUUAACCCUGAGCGUGCUUUCGAUACGGGUUGACUUGAGGAAGGUAGGGGAGAAUGGGAUUCCUGGUGGAGCGGUGGAAUGCGCAGAUAUCAGGAGGAACACCAGUGGCGAAGGCGGUUCUCUGGGCCUUUCCUGACGCUGAGGAGCGAAAGCGUGGGGAGCGAACAGGCUUAGAUACCCUGGUAGUCCACGCUGUAAACGGUGGGUACUAGGUGUGGGGUCCAUUCCACGGGUUCCGUGCCGUAGCUAACGCUUUAAGUACCCCGCCUGGGGAGUACGGCCGCAAGGCUAAAACUCAAAGGAAUUAACGGGGCCCCGCACAAGCGGCGGAGCAUGCGGAUUAAUUCGAUGCAACGCGUAGAACCUUACCUGGGUUUGACAUGGAUCGGGAGUGCUCAGAGAUGGGUGUGCCUCUUUUGGGGUCGGUUCACAGGUGGUGCAUGCCUGUCGUCAGCUCGUGUCGUGAGAUGUUGGGUUAAGUCCCGCAACGAGCGCAACCCUUGUUCACUGUUGCCAGCACGUUAUGGUGGGGACUCAGUGGAGACCGCCGGGGUCAACUCGGAGGAAGGUGGGGAUGACGUCAAGUCAUCAUGCCCCUUAUGUCCAGGGCUUCACGCAUGCUACAAUGGCUGGUACAGAGAGUGGCGAGCCUGUGAGGGUGAGCGAAUCUCGGAAAGCCGGUCUCAGUUCGGAUUGGGGUCUGCAACUCGACCUCAUGAAGUCGGAGUCGCUAGUAAUCGCAGAUCAGCAACGCUGCGGUGAAUACGUUCCCGGGGCU
rnacentral:rRNA from 1 species